GCAGCCUGUGGCUCACUGCGCUACAAUACAGGACACGUGUUACCUUCUCAUUUUAGUGCGCUGUUGAGUUGCGUGGACGGACUGUGACUUGAGAGGGCUCUGGUAAAUCAUUGACCGACAGGAGAUAAUUUAACUACUGCAACUCUGUCUGUGACCCACAACAUCCAAACACUCUCGCUGGUGACAGGCAAUAGGUGAUGAAGUCAAAAUGCGAUUGAUAACUCUCAGCUUUGUCUUUGCACUAUGGUUGUGUACACUCAGCUUUGUGAAAGGUCAAGGUUGUCUCCGAAAGGAUGUUUCAGUGAUUCCUGAAACUAAAAACGUGGACAUUUCCAACCUACAAGACACUGAAAGUGGCAAAACAGUGAGGUUGCCCUGCGCUAUUGGCUACGUAGGUUUCGUUAGACUCAAAUGCGACAAUAAAGUAUGGAGAAAAGAUGGUGGUCGAAAAUGUGAACCUAAGUCAUGUGGACAUCCAGGAGACACACCAAAUGGAGACUUCCGUCUUUCGAUUUUGGACGAUUUUGUCUUUGGAGCUCAAGUUCUGUACGAAUGCAGAAAAGGUUACCAAAUGGUGACCAGGACCAGACAUCGGACCUGCGUGGAACAAGGCUGGGACAGCGCACUCCCUAUAUGUGAAGCAUUGAAAUGCCCAGUGAUUCAAGCCAACGACGACGUUGUGGUCAUCGGAAACAGUGAGGAUGCAACCUAUGGAAAUGUGAUCCAGUUUGAGUGCCAAUCAAAUCGCAUGGUACUCAAUGGAUCGUCUGAGAUAGACUGCAACCACAAAGGAGAAUGGAGCAGAACAGUCCCAACAUGUGAAGUGAUUAAAUGUUACGCUCCAGACAUAGCUAAUGGUGAAGUGAUCAGGCCCCCUAGGGACGAUUACAAUGAAGAUGACACACUGAAAUACAGCUGUAACAGAAAUUAUGUUAUGUCUCAAAGAGCCUCUAAAUGCACUAAAAUGGGCAACAUAGCCGACUGGAGUCCAACACCAGAGUGUGAAGAAGUGAAAUGUAAAUUAUCAUUGCCACCAACAAGAGGAACCAGUUACACACCUGCUGGCAGAAAUCUGUUCUUGCCUGGUGAAAGCCUGAAGGUGACCUGUACCCCAGGAUUCUGGAACUUUUUCUCACGUCAGACUGAAGAUACAAUAACAUGCAAAGAGGACGGACAAUGGUCAUCUUCUACAGAUUGUGAACUGAUAACAUGUGGUGAUCCACGUAACUCUCUUGUGAGUUUUCCCCAACGCUGGCAGAGGGGUCAAUUGAGAGAAACUCAGCGUUACAACUGUAGAACCGGAUUUAAAACCGCAAAUACCCGGGGUGUUGCCACAUGCACAAGUGAUGGCUCCUGGACUCCAGACCCACUCUGUGAAGAGAUAACAUGUGACAAGCCAGAUAUCCUAAAUGCUGUGAUUAAAGACCCGAAAACAAGAUACAAAUUCAAUGAUCAGCUCACUUAUGAGUGUAAGAUGAAUUAUGAACUAUUGGACAGUACUACCAGAUCUACUGCUACCUGUACAACAAAUGGCUGGACCAAGACACUUGGCUGUAAAGAAAUAGAGGGAGCAUGUAUCAAUCCCACUGUGAUGAAUGGAUUCAUAGUGUUGAAUCAUAGUGUGAAGGAUGAUCCCAGGAAUAGCAAGAUAUACUAUUCCUGCAAUGUAGGGUUCAAACCAUCUACCGGGGGCUGGUGGGGUGAAGCCACAUGUACUGAGGGAACAUGGUCUGGAAUAUCAAAGUGUAUUGAUCAAUCACAAUGUGGCCCAUACCCUGUCAUUCCCAACACAAAGGUACCUCACAAAGAAGUCUAUUAUAAUGAAAAAACUGUUACAAUUGAUUGCAAAGAUGGAUACACAUCUGAAAAGAUGACUAUAACAUGUAACAAUGGAGAAUGGCAAACACCGUUACCAGCUUGUGAACCGCAAGGCAUUAUAUGUGAUCCUCCACCUAAAGUUGAAAAUGCAAUUGUUAAAAUCCCUUAUCAAAAUACAUAUAUAGAUGGAUUUGAGGUGAAUUAUGAAUGUCGCAAAUCCUUUGAAAUAGAGGGACUUAAAAAAAUUACCUGCAAAAAUGGGAAUUGGACAACUCCACCACCAACAUGCAAACAGUACUGUGGUAAGCCUGAGGGUGCAGGGAGGACAAUGCCGCUGAUUCCUGAUCGAGAGCGUUAUGAAAAUGGGGACCAAGUAGAGUAUGGAUGUCUUGCAACUUGUAAGAACGGAGAGUGGGAUAAGACCAUCAAGGGCAAAGAUUAUUGUAGUAAACCUGAGGGUGCAGACACCAGAAUGCUGCUGAUUCCUGACCGAGAGAGAUAUGAAAAUGGGGACAAAAUAGAUUAUGGUUGCCUUAGCGGCCCAAACACAGGCUCAAGAGGAAAAGCAACUUGCAAGAACGGAGCGUGGAGUAAGACAAUCGAGUGUCAAGUGACCUGUCCCCCAGCCCCUCCUAUUAAUAAUGGAUAUCACACUGUCAAAGAGAGAGAUGGUGAAGGCGCUAUUACAGAGGUUUCCUACCAAUGUAACUUGGAUUAUACACUGAGUUUCACAGGCAGCAUCAGAUGUCUGAAUGGAGAAUGGCAGACCCCACCAAAGUGUUUACAGCCUUGUGAGGUCCACACUUUUGAUGCAGAGUACCAUCUACAGGAUUUACCCCAAAUAAUGUACAUGGAACACGGUGAAAAAAAGACUCUUCGGUGCAAACAUGGAUAUUACCAUAAACAUGCACCUGAAAGCAAUACAGCAGAAAUUGAAGUGGAGUGUAAUGAUGGAGAGAUAAACUAUCCAUUUCCAAAAUGCAUUGCAAGCUGUCCUGAUCCCCCUCCUAUUACUAAUGGAGAUUACACCAAGGAAAAGAGAGAUGUUGAAGGUGUUGUUACAGAGGUGUCCUAUCAAUGCAGCAGACAGUAUACUCUGAGUUUCACAGGCAGCAUCAGAUGUCAGAAUGGAAAAUGGCCGAGCCCUCCAAAGUGUUUACGGCCUUGUGAGAUUUCCACUUUUGAUGAAGAGUACAAUCUAAAGAAUUUACCCAAGAAAGAGAGUAUUGCGCACGGUGAAAAAAAGACUCUCCAUUGCAAAGAGGGAUAUUACCAUGAAUACAAACAUUUUCUACGGAAUAUUUAAAAAAUUGAGGUGAAGUGUGAUGAUGGAGCGAUACAGUAUGGAGAACACAUACCUAUAUGUAGCCGUCGUUAUUCAUAGGUAGAUGAUGAACAUAAUGGAGUCAUGAUGUUCCCUCCAUCAAAUUCAAGAAUCCUUACAAAGCCACCUUUAUAUGCAAGGAGACGACUCAUUUGCUUUUGUGGUGUCUUUGUCGCUUGUUUAAUUUAGGUUUAGAAAAAAGGUGAGCCAGCCAGUAAUGGAAUACAUGUAGUGUCUUUUUCAACAUUUGACAUUUUAUCAUCAUUGUAAAAAAAUAACAUUAUCUUUCAAAUCAUAUCAGUCUCAGCUUCACUAUAAUAACAGUACAGCUAUCUAAAGCUAGACUAAAAUGGUACAUUUGUUGUAUUAGUACAAAGUGAUGUGAUUGUGUGAAUAUCCUUCUAUCAAGUUUAUAAAUUGCCUGGCUGGGCUGAUGAGACAGUGGAUUGCACAGUCAGUUGGAACAGAGUAAAUAGGCAUUUUAACAUCAUAAAUUUAGCCGGUGGUAGCUUGUGGAAUAGACACCGGCUGGAAUGCGGUCUUAACCAAUCAGCAUUCAGGAUUAGACCAACACGCUCUAUAAUGUGUGAAUAUUCUCCUGUAUCUCCCAGCUGUGUGAUUCAUUAUCUGAAGGUGUAAUAAGUGAACAACUGUUGUUAUGAUUGUCCUUAUUAAGGAAGACAAUAAAGUUGUGGAAAAGAGAUGA